rnacentral:tRNA from 1 species
GGCCUGGCGGCGGCCUGGUAGCGCACCUGCCUUGGGCGCAGGGGGUCGGGCGUUCCAAUCGCCCCGGCCA